rnacentral:rRNA from 1 species
AACGAACGCUGGCGGCAGGCUUAACACAUGCAAGUCGAACGAGACCUUCCGGUCUGGCGGCGGAGGGUUGAGUAAGGCGUGGUAACGUGCCCUUCUCUGCCGAGUCGUGGCGGGUAACUGGGCGUAAUAGCGUCUACGCCCGUUGGGGGUAAGGGGUAUCGGGGGAGGAUCGGCACGCGUUGGAGUAGGUAGUUGGUGGGGUAAUGGCCCACCAAGCCGACGAUCCAUAGCUGGUUUGAGAGGAUGAUCUGCCACACUGGGGCUGAGACACAGCCCGGACUCCUACGGGAGGCAGCAGUGGGGAAUCUUAGACAAUGGGGGCAACCCUGAUCGAGCCAUGCCGCGUAAGUGAUGAAGGCCUUAGGGUAGUAAAGCUGUUUCAGCUGGGAAGAUAAUGACGGUACCAGAAGAAGAAGCCCCGGCUAACUCCGUG